CGUCGUCGACGUACGUCUACGAGAGGUUCGAUUCUGGCUCAGGAUGAACGCUAGCGACAGGCCUAACACAUGCAAGUCGAGGGGCAGCACAAGGAGUAAUCUGAGGUGGCGACCGGCGCACGGGUGAGUAACACGUAUGCAACCUGGCUGUAAGAGGGGAAUAACCCGGAGAAAUCCGGACUAAUACCGCAUAAUACUUAGAAUCCGCAUGGAUUUUAAGUUAAACAUUUAUGGCUUACAGAUGGGCAUGCGUAUGAUUAGCUGGUUGGAGAGGUAACGGCUCCCCAAGGCAACGAUCAUUAGGGGUUCUGAGAGGAAGGUCCCCCACACUGGUACUGAGACACGGACCAGACUCCUACGGGAGGCAGCAGUGAGGAAUAUUGGUCAAUGGACGCAAGUCUGAACCAAGCCAAGUCGCGUGAAGGAAGAAUGUCCUAUGGAUUGUAAACUUCUUUUGAAGGGGAAUAAAGUACGGUACGUGUACCGUUUUGUAUGUACCCUUCGAAUAAGGAUCGGCUAACUCCGUGCCAGCCGCCGC
rnacentral:rRNA from 1 species